UGACGAGUGAACGUUGAACGUUGAUGUGUUCUCGCAACACCCACAUGGUGAGAUAUUUUUGAAUGCCAGUUAUUGUGCAGACUGGAGCUGGACAAUUGAAAAAAAAAAGAUUAUUUUUUUCCUCUCCUCAAUUUUGCGACUUCAUACAUGACUAUUUUUUCCUUCCUAUAUAUUAAUUAACAAACACAAACAAACUCAUUUGGAUGACAAUAAACAAUAUCAGAUUUAUGGUUCCAUAAGUUAGGCUUAUAAGCUAAAAUAAAUGCAAAUGAACCAGGAAUUAUUUUCAAAGCCAGUUGCUUUAUCGACUUCAGUUAGAAUGCUCCAAUUGGUUUAGAUUGACACUCGUGUGGUCCCCAUGAAAUGGUGAGAAAGAAAAUACAUCGUAGGCUCCGACUUGGGCUUUCAUAAACUUGUAUUUACUCCCAAGAAAAUACUUAAAGCAGCAUUAACUCUCAUAAUUGUGUAAAAAGUGGUUAACUGCUGUCAAUGGUGUUUGAUGGCGAGUGUGUUCUCAUGAAGAAUAAUGCCGUUUUUUCUUAUAUACAACAGAUUCCGUUCUAUUAUUUUAUUGUUAAAUUUGCCAUAUUGUUUCGAGUAGCUAAAGAUGGAUGUACUGCUUUUCCGUCCACAUUUUUAUUUCCCACUGUGACAGCUCCCCCCUCCCAAACAAUAAUACACAAAAGCAUAAAUAGAACACACGUGGAUGAGAUGCUACUACGUCGUAACACGCCGUCACGCAUGACCGCGGAUGGAUUUUGGUGUGACUUUGGAAGCAGAUUUUUUUUCCUAAAAAUGAUGGUCGAGUUUUGAAAUGUCUAAGCGAUUUGGGGGUUUUCCCUGGACUACAAAUGUAUCACAUUUCAAUCUAUGGGCUUUGACAAAAAGCACUGUAGAUACAAAGCUUUGUUGUAAAUGUCAAAACAUACUCUGUAUAUUUUCAACGUGCUGCAUGUAUGACGAUGAAUGGCAACAAAUUUAGUUUCAGUUGAUGGUUCAAUGGCUGUGAUUCUGUACAUACAAGCAAUGUGAAAUCGUA